CAAGUACUUCGUGCGUCUGGAAAUACUUGUUGGUGAAAUGGAUACAAAUGGAUGUAUCUAGAACUAAAAUACGUCUAGAUACAUCCAUUUCUCUGAUAAGUAUUUCCGGACGGAGGGAGUACUAU
rfam:Triticum aestivum genome assembly, contig: Triticum_aestivum_CS42_TGACv1_scaffold_433115_5DL